rnacentral:lncRNA from 1 species
UUAAAUAACCACAAUACUAUUUUCAAUAAGUGCAGCACUAUUUAUUAUUUCUUCCUUCCCCAAUGCUUUUUGUGAUGUUGUCUUCAUUUGUAGGGAUUCUCUCUGAAGGAGGAAAGUGUAUCAGUCACCCAGAAAAGUUUUAAACCCACUUUGCAAGAUUCUUGCACAUCGAGAAUCUUGGGUUGCCCUCUGAUUUGUUUCUGCUUCUACCCUUUUGAGAGAUUAAUUUGGCAUGUAAUCUUCUCAUGUAUCAUUGAGGGUCUGCAUAGAGAUGUGAGCUCUGCUCCACUGAUAAGUUUAUCUUUGCAUGUGCUCCAUGCAGUGCCAUCAUUAGUAAAGGAUAAGAAUAAAAUUUAAUAUCUGUUAAAAGAAGUUUCCAUUCAUAUUUCAAAAAACUAGAAAAUAAUUAGCCUGUUAAUAUGUUUCUGCAGAAUCCAGGCUGCCUGUUGAGAAAACUCUAUUUCAUGCUGUUUUUC